ACUAUAAGAGAUCUUCUAAAUCGAUAGCGCAUAUCAAAAAUUGAAAGCUGAUGCACGUGCUAUUUGCACGUGCUGUAGUGGGGAUUGCAAUUGGUUUGAAGGAAGCUGCCUUAUAUAAAAAGACAGCAACACACUGUGAGUCUCAGUAUCGUGCAAGAUUGUAAAUCGUGAUUUGAAAUCUGUCGCUUCUGAUAUAAAACAUAAUUUUUUAAUUGAAUUUGGAUGAAACAUCCGUUUACAAGGCAACUCACGUUCUGGGAUUGAUUCCGGAUAUUUACGCAACAAUUGGAUGAAUCAAAGACAUCAAAAUUAACAAAAUGUCACGAGAAGAGCCAUUGGUCGUCGAGAUGGUGUAUCUUUACGAAAAAGAAAAUGCAAAAUUGCAUCACACCAUCAAUUACGAAUUAGUACAUCUCGAUCCUCCAGCCGCUGUUCUCAGACGAGGACAAUCUUUCCAUAUCGCCUUGAGAUUCAAUCGAGAAUAUAUAGAUGAAAUAGACAUCGUUAGAUUGCUAUUCAGUUUUGGACCAAAUCCAAACGUUCUUAGAGGAACUAGAGGAGUGAACACUAUCACCAAUAGAGAUAGUUAUCUAACAGAUUUAGAGGCAUGGGGUGUGCGUUUGAUAGGUGUUAGUGGCGUGGAUUUAUCAGCGGAAGUAAGAAGUCCUGUAGAUAGUCCCGUUGGCAUGUGGCAAUUAAACAUAGAGACCACUAUCGUGGGGAGCAAGAGAUCUCCAAAUACCUAUAAUUAUGACAAGGAUAUUUAUUUGCUGUUUAAUCCCUGGUUGAAAGAGGAUUUAGUUUACAUGGAGGAUGAACAACUUCUGGAUGAAUAUAUUCUGAAUGAUGUUGGAAAAAUUUGGGUUGGAGCAUGGGGAAGUGCACGCGGCAGAGAAUGGAUAUUCGGUCAAUUCGAUGCAUAUGUGCUUAAAGCUUGUCAGUUACUGUUAGAAAGAUCCGGCAUCAAAGCUAAUUCCAGAGGAGAUCCAAUUCAAAUGUGUAGAGCUAUUUCGAGAAUCGUAAACUCCAACGACGACAAAGGAGUAGUGACUGGUCGAUGGGAUGGCGAUUAUCAAGAUGGUACUGCGCCGGCUGCUUGGACCGGAAGUGUACCAAUUCUCGAGCAGUUCCUAGAAACAGGAGAAUCCAUCAAAUACGGUCAAUGUUGGGUAUUCGCCGGUGUCGUGACCACUGUUUGUCGUGCUCUAGGGAUACCAUCGAGAGUGGUCUCAAACUUGGUAUCGGCUCACGAUGCGAACGCCUCGCUCUCUGUCGAUCGUUAUUACAGCAAGGAAAACGAGGAACUCGAAUACGAUCCGAACAAUGUCGAAGGCGAAGACUCCAUUUGGAAUUAUCACGUUUGGAACGAUGUCUGGAUGGCUAGGCCUGACUUGCCCAAAGGGUAUGGUGGUUGGCAAGCGAUCGAUUCAACGCCCCAAGAACCUUCAGAGGGUGUUUACCAGUGUGGACCAGCUUCGGUCGAAGCAAUUAAACAAGGGGUUGUCGGAUAUAAUUACGAUGUGACGUUUAUGCUGGCUUCCGUAAAUGCUGAUCUCAUGAGGUGGAUAGAGGAUCCUGAUAGCGAGAUGGGAUUCAGGAAGAUCGACUGCAAUAAAUACCAUAUUGGCAGAAUGAUUUUGACGAAAGCUCCUUGGGUCUAUGAUCCUAAUGGAGACAGAGAUAGAGAAGAUAUAACAUCUUUGUAUAAAGCAAAAGAAGGAACGGAAUUGGAGCGAUUAACGUUGUACAGAGCUGUACGCAGUACGGAACUGGCCAAAAGAUUUUAUUCCUUACCUUCACCAGCUAAAGAAGACGUUGAAUUUGAUCUUGUGGACAUUGAACGAGUGAACAUUGGCGAGCCAUUUGCAGUAAUAGUGAAUAUAAAGAAUAAAUCAAACGAGAAACGUACUAUUCAAGCUAUUUUAUCCGCUGGUAGCGUAUAUUACAAGGGAAUCAAGGCAUAUCUGGUAAAGAGAGCAUCCGGUGAUUUCGUUCUUGAACCAUAUGCCAGCGAACAAUUAAGACUCACAAUCACAGUUGAUGAUUAUUUGGACAAACUAGUGGAAUAUUGUAAUAUGAAAUUGUAUUCCAUUGCCACAGUGGUUGAAACCAAGCAAACAUGGGCUGAUGAAGAUGAUUUUCAAGUUUUAAAGCCAAAUAUUGUAGUCAAGAUCGAUGGAGAACCUACAGUAGGAAAACCAUCAAUUAUCAGUCUUAGAUUCAAAAAUCCUUUGCAAAGAGUAUUGACAGAUUGUAAAUUCAAUUAUGCUGGUCCAGGAUUAACAAGAAACAAGACACUAGCAUUCAGAGAUGUUGAUCCCGAAGAGGACGUCUAUGUAGAACAUCAAUUGAUUCCUCAAAAGGCUGGAUCGCAAAAGAUCAUUGCCACUUUCACUUCGAAAGAGCUAGUAGAUGUCACAGGAUCCGCUGUCAUUGAUGUUCUUGAUAUGGACGAAUAAAAUUCUUCAAAUUUGAACGAUAUCAAUCUCAUUUUCAUCUUCGAAUAAUAAAUAUCUUAUCGAUAAAUAUAAGUUGAUGGCUGUAAAAAUAUUUGAAGAUAUCGAAGAUACAUUGCUGGAAUGGAUUACGUGAUCAAAAGUUGAGAUCCUAUAUGAGGAAAAAGAUUAUAUAAUGGAAAAAAAAUAACAUGGAACUAAAUAUAUACAGUAUUCGUCAUGUACAUUAAUUUUUUCAGUAAAUUUGUUCUUUAAUGUUUAAAUAUUAUAAUACUUUUUUUUAAAGAACAAGAUUACCAAGGAAAUUAAUGUAAAUAUUUGUGGUUUUUAAUCGUGAGAUAUUAAGUUUUGUAAUUUGUUAUUUUAUACGUGAUAUAUAUUGUGCAUUUAAAAAAUGAUUUAUAAUAUAUCGUUUUGCAUGUCUUAUGAUACAUAUCAAUAAAAAUAAUAUUUAGAUAUUAAA